AGCGAACGCUGGCGGCAGGCCUAACACAUGCAAGUCGAACGAACACUUCGGAGUUUUUGGCGGACGGGUGUGUAACACGUGGGAACGGGCCCUUUGGGUCGGCAUAACUAUGGGAAACGUGUGCCAAUACCGAACGGGCCCUACGGGGGAAAGAUUUAUCGCGCUUGGAGGGGCCCGCGUCGGAUUCGGUUGUUGGGGAGGUAACAGCUCACCACGGCGACAAUUAGCAGCCGGGAUGAGAGGAUGGCCAGCCACACAUGGACUGAGACACGGCCCAGACUCCUACGGGAGGGAGGAGUGGGGAAUCUUGCGCAAUGGGGGAAAUCCUGACGGUGCCAUGACGGGUGAAUGAUGAAAGUCUUAGGAAUGUAAAAUUUUUUUACCGGUGACGAUAAUGACGGUACCCGGAGAAAAAGCCCCGGCUAACUUCGUG
rnacentral:rRNA from 1 species